rnacentral:rRNA from 1 species
UACGUAGGGUGCAAGCGUUAAUCGGAAUUACUGGGCGUAAAGCGUGCGCAGGCGGCUUUGCAAGACAGAUGUGAAAUCCCCGGGCUUAACCUGGGAACUGCAUUUGUGACUGCAUAGCUAGAGUACGGUAGAGGGGGAUGGAAUUCCGCGUGUAGCAGUGAAAUGCGUAGAUAUGCGGAGGAACACCGAUGGCGAAGGCAAUCCCCUGGACCUGUACUGACGCUCAUGCACGAAAGCGUGGGGAGCAACAGG